rnacentral:rRNA from 1 species
AGGUCCUGCCUGCCCAGUGAACAUAUUCAACGGCCGCGGUACCCUAACCGUGCAAAGGUAGCGUAAUCACUUGUCCUUUAAAUAAGGACCAGUAUGAAUGGCUAAAUGAGGGCCCACCUGUCUCCUUUGGCCCCCCAAUGAAACUGAUCUCCUAGUCCAAAAGCUAGGAUAAACAUACAAGACGAGAAGACCCUGUGGAGCUUAAAACACCCACUACCGACACACCACCAGUAGACCCUGUUUUUAGUUGGGGCGACUACGGAACAAACAAAACCUCCACGAACCGGACUAACCUCCGCCACGGGCACACACGCCAAAAACUGACCCAGUACUACUGACCAACGAACCAAGUUACCCCAGGGAUAACAGCGCCAUCCCCUUAAAGAGUCCAUAUCGCCAAGGGGGCUUACGACCUCGAUGUUGGAUCAGGACCCCCCGGCGGCGCAGCAGCUGCCAACGGUUCGUUUGUUCAACGAUUAAAGUCCUACGUGAUCUGAGUUCAGACC